AUUGAACGCUGGCGGCAUGCCUAACACAUGCAAGUCGAACGAGUGGCGGACGGGUGUGUAAUGUCUGGGAAACUGCCCGAUGGAGGGGGAUAACUACUGGAAACGGUAGCUAAUACCGCAUACCAUCGGAUGUGCCCCGAUGGGCUUAGCUAGUAGGUGGGGUAACGGCUCACCUAGGCGACGAUCCCUAGCUGGUCUGAGAGGAUGACCAGGCACACGGGAAAUGAGACACGGUCCAGACUCCUACGGGAGGCAGCAGUGGGGAAUAUUGCACAAUGGGCGCAAGCCGGAUGCAGCCAUGCCGCGUGUAUGAAGAAGGCCUUCGGGUUGUAAAGGACUUUCAGCGAGGAGGCGUUACUCGCAGAAGAAGCACCGGCUAACUCCGUGCCAGCAGCCGCGGUAAUUC
rnacentral:rRNA from 1 species